rnacentral:rRNA from 1 species
CAACGAAUAUUCCGCAAUGGGCGAAAGCCUGACGGAGCGACGCCGCGUGAGGGAUGAAGUCCCUUCGGGAUGUAAACUUCAAUAGUACGCCAGGAACCAAUCCUGGCUAAUAUCCAGGAAAGUUGACCAGCGUACGAAAGGGGCGGCUAACUCCGUGCCAGCAGCCGCGGUAAUACGGAGGCCCCGAGCGUUGUUCGGAAUCACUGGGCUUAAAGCGCGUGUAGGCGGAACGGUAAGUACUUUGUGAAAU